rnacentral:rRNA from 1 species
UACGUAGGGUGCAAGCGUUAAUCGGAAUUACUGGGCGUAAAGCGUGCGCAGGCGGUUCGUGAUGUCUGAUGUGAAAGCCCCGGGCUCAACCUGGGAACUGCAUUGGAAACUAGCGGGCUGGAGUGUGGCAGAGGGGGGUGGAAUUCCACGUGUAGCAGUGAAAUGCGUAGAGAUGUGGAGGAACACCGAUGGCGAAGGCAGCCCCCUGGGCUAACACUGACGCUCAUGCACGAAAGCGUGGGGAGCAAACAGG